GAUGAACGCUGGCGGCGUGCCUAAUACAUGCAAGUCGAGCGAAUGGAUUAAGAGCUUGCUCUUAUGAAGUUAGCGGCGGACGGGUGAGUAAUACGUGGGUAACCUGCCCAUAAGACUGGGAUAACUCCGGGAAACCGGGGCUAAUACCGGAUAACAUUUUGAACCGCAUGGUUCGAAAUUGAAAGGCGGCUUCGGCUGUCACUUAUGGAUGGACCCGCGUCGCAUUAGCUAGUUGGUGAGGUAACGGCUCACCAAGGCAACGAUGCGUAGCCGACCAGGGAGGGUGAUCGGCCACACUGGGACUGAGACACGGCCCAGACUCCUACGGGAGGCAGCAGUAGGGAAUCUUCCGCAAUGGACGAAAGUCUGACGGAGCAACGCCGCGUGAGUGAUGAAGGCUUUCGGGUCGUAAAACUCUGUUGUUAGGGAAGAACAAGUGCUAGUUGAAUAAGCUGGCACCUUGACGGUACCUAACCAGAAAGCCACGGCUAACUACGUGCCAGCCGCCGCGGUAA
rnacentral:rRNA from 1 species